AUUGAACGCUGGCGGCAGGCCUAACACAUGCAAGUCGAGCGGUAACAUUUCUAGCUUGCUAGAAGAUGACGAGCGGCGGACGGGUGAGUAACGCGUAGAAAUCUGCCUGGUAGUGGGGGAUAGCCCAGAGAAAUUUGGAUUAAUACCGCAUACGCCCUACGGGGGAAAGCAGGGGAUCUUCGGACCUUGCGCUAUUGGAUGUGCCUAUGUCGGAUUAGCUAGUUGGUGGGGUAAAGGCCUACCAAGGCGACGAUCCGUAGCUGGUCUGAGAGGAUGAUCAGCCACAUCGGGACUGAGACACGGCCCGA
rnacentral:rRNA from 1 species